GCGUCUUCGACGUCCGAGUUGUAAUUUGAAGAAGGCGACUUUGUAGCUGGUCCUUGUCUAUGUUCCUUGGAACAGGACGUCAUAGAGGGUGAGAAUCCCGUGUGGCGAGGAUCCCAGUUAUUUGUAAAGUGCUUUCGACGAGUCGAGUUGUUUGGGAAUGCAGCUCUAAGUGGGUGGUAAAUUCCAUCUAAAGCUAAAUAUUGGCGAGAGACCGAUAGCGAACAAGUACAGUGAUGGAAAGAUGAAAAGAACUUUGAAAAGAGAGUGAAAAAGUACGUGAAAUUGUUGAAAGGGAAGGGCAUUUGAUCAGACAUGGCGUUUGCUUCGGCUUUCGCUGGGCCAGCAUCAGUUUUAGCGGUUGGAUAAAUCCUCGGGAAUGUGGCUCUGCUUCGGUAGAGUGUUAUAGCCCGUGGGAAUACAGCCAGCUGGGACUGAGGAUUGCGACUUUUGUCAAGGAUGCUGGCGUAAUGGUUAAAU
rnacentral:rRNA from 1 species